rnacentral:rRNA from 1 species
AUUGAACGCUGGCGGCAGGCUUAACACAUGCAAGUCGAACGCCCCGCAAGGGGAGUGGCAGACGGGUGAGUAACGCGUGGGAACAUACCCUUUCCUGCGGAAUAGCUCUGGGAAACUGGAAUUAAUACCGCAUACGCCCUACGGGGGAAAGAUUUAUCGGGGAAGGAUUGGCCCGCGUUGGAUUAGCUAGUUGGUGGGGUAAAGGCCUACCAAGGCGACGAUCCAUAGCUGGUCUGAGAGGAUGAUCAGCCACAUUGGGACUGAGACACGGCCCAAACUCCUACGGGAGGCAGCAGUGGGGAAUAUUGGACAAUGGGCGCAAGCCUGAUCCAGCCAUGCCGCGUGAGUGAUGAAGGCCUUAGGGUUGUAAAGCUCUUUCACCGAUGAAGAUAAUGACGGUAGUCGGAGAAGAAGCCCCGGCUAACUUCGUGCCAGCCGCCGCAGUAAAAC